GCAAGCAGCAACAAAUACAGCUGUUUAUCCAAGGAGGAGAUGUUGGAUUCUAGUUGUUCUGUCAUGCAGAUCACACAAAAGAUUUGAAGAGUGUUCUACAAGUAAUUAUAUGGGGCAGGUAACAUUAAAGAAAGAUGAAUGAACUAGUACAUACAACACGAAGAAGCUGAUUAUGAUCAAGUCCGCAGAGCCAGGGACUCCCACAAGAGCAGAAGUGCAUUGUCAGACCAAGCCCCAACAUCUACAGAGAGCUAAUGAGGAGCAUUCAAGCAAAGAAGGAUGGAUAUGGCUCGCCAGAAGUCAGCCAUAUGAACUCAUAUUUAGUGUUGCCAAAUACAAAGUCUUACAAACUUUUGUAAGCUCAAGAACCAGGCCAUGGAGUGCCUUCUUGGGGCUCUUCCAGGGGAACAGAACAAGAACUAACAACCUGUCAGCUGGCUGGCCCAUGCAACUCUCCUUUUCCCGCCGCCAUCCCAUCUCAGAUACCUUUGAUGUCUGCAGAACAAAAGCGUCCCUCACCCCUGCUGCUCCAAAGAACUGAGAGGAAGAUCUCCGAUUGACAUGUAUUGACACAGGAAAUCUUUACAAAUUAAAUUGAUUGAUCUAUUGAAGAUGUGGAAGUUGAGUCAUGGCAACUGGACUUCUUUCUUCUUAGAUUGAAACAUUUUGCUGCUCAUCCAAGCAGCUUCAACAUGGUAUAAAAGCCUGCAAGUAGCAAUGUUCAUU